rnacentral:rRNA from 1 species
UACGGAGGGUGCGAGCGUUGUUCGGAAUCACUGGGCUUAAAGCGCGUGUAGGCGGGACGGUAGGUGUCGAGUGAAAUCCCCGAGCUCAACUCGGGAAUGGCUCGGCAAACCACCGUCCUUGAGGCAGGUAGAGGCGACCGGAACGACUGGUGGAGCGGUGAAAUGCGUAGAUAUCAGUUGGAACGCCGGUGGCGAAAGCGGGUCGCUGGACCUGUCCUGACGCUAAGACGCGAAAGCGUGGGUAGCAAACAGG